AACGAACGCUGGCGGCAUGCCUAACACAUGCAAGUCGAACGAGACCUUCGGGUCUAGUGGCGCACGGGUGCGUAACGCGUGGGAACCUGCCCUUAGGUUCGGAAUAACUCCCCGAAAGGGGUGCUAAUACCGGAUAAUGUCUUCGGACCAAAGAUUUAUCGCCUUUGGAUGGGCCCGCGUUGGAUUAGCUAGUUGGUAGGGUAAAAUCCUACCAAGGCGACGAUCCAUAGCUGGUCUGAGAGGAUGAUCAGCCACACUGGGACUGAGACACGGCCCAGACUCCUACGGGAGGCAGCAGUGGGGAAUAUUGGACAAUGGGCGAAAGCCUGAUCCAGCAAUGCCGCGUGAGUGAUGAAGGCCUUAGGGUUGUAAAGCUCUUUUACCCGGGAUGAUAAUGACAGUACCGGGAGAAUAAGCUCCGGCUAACUCCGUG
rnacentral:rRNA from 1 species